AACUACAAGACUAGAAUAUGUCAGAGGGGGGUAGAAUUCCACGUGUAGCAGUGAAAUGCGUAGAGAUGUGGAGGAAUGCCAAUGGCGAAGGCAGCCCCCUGGGAUAAUAUUGACGCUCAUGCACGAAAGCGUGGGGAGCAAACAGGAUUAGAUACCCUGGUAGUCCACGCCCUAAACGAUGUCUACUAGUUGUUGGUGGAGUAAAAUCCAUGAGUAACGCAGCUAACGCGUGAAGUAGACCGCCUGGGGAGUACGGUCGCAAGAUUAAAACUCAAAUGAAUUGACGGGGGCCCGCACAAGCGGUGGAGCAUGUGGUUUAAUUCGAUGGUACGCGAGGAACCUUACCAGGGCUUGACAUAGGAGGUACGGCGGCAGAGAUGUCGCUUCCCGCAAGGGGUCUCUUACAGGUGCUGCAUGGCUGUCGUCAGCUCGUGCUGUGAAGUGUUGGGUUAAGUCCCGCAACGAGCGCAACCCUUGCCAAUAAUUGCCAUCAUUUAGUUGGGCACUUUAUUGGGACUGCCGAUGACAAAUCGGAGGAAGGUGGGGAUGACGUCAAGUCCUCAUGGCCCUUAUGGCCAGGGCUUCACACGUAAUACAAUGGUCGGUACAGAGGGUUGCCAACCCGCGAGGGGGAGCCAAUCCCAGAAAGCCGAUCGUAGUCCGGAUUGCAGGCUGCAACUCGCCUGCAUGAAGUCGGAAUCGCUAGUAAUCGCGGAUCAGCAUGUCGCGGUGAAUACGUUCCCGGGCCUUGUACACACCGCCCGUCACACCAUGGGAGUGGGUUUUACCAGAAGUAGUUAGCCUAACCGUAAGGAGGGCGAUUACCACGGUAGUAUUCAUGACUGGGGUGAAGUCGUAACAAGGUAACC
rnacentral:rRNA from 1 species